UUGCUGUUGCGAUUUAAUAACUGCUGACUGGUUUUCAGUGUGUCGUGCGUAUUUACCAAUUAGCUGUGGUGGUGAUUAAUCUGUUGUCCAGCAGGAUGUGUUUUACUGCUUUUUAGAUUUGUUGUCCUGAGAUCACCUCCUGCAUAGACAGAGGCCUGAUUGUGUGUGAGCCAGGCCAGUUUACUAGGAAACCUUCUCUUUACACUAGCAGCAUGCAGAGCAAUCAGACUAGCAAUGACCGGUCGGUGGAAGACAGUACUUUGGGAAAGGAGUAUUUUGAUUAAUUUUACUUGAGGUAGAAUUGAUUGUUCUCUAUCUUAGAUGCCCAGCUCGCCCAGGAGAUCCAGAGCUGUCCCCAACUCCUUUCUGCCUCUGUUCCCCUUCACUGCAACUGCAGCUGCAAUGUGGGACCACCCAGGAGACUCUUCUGUUCAGGUCCAGCUCUCUGCUGUGGCCUGGGAGGGCAGUGGAGGAUGGCCCAAGUGCUUGGACCCUGCACCCACAUGGGAGACCAGGAAGAAGCACCUGGCUCCUGGCUUCGGAUCGGUGCAGCUCGCCAGCCGUUGCAGCUAUUUGGGGAUUGAACCAACGGACUUGGGAUAUAUCUCUCCAGUAUAGACCACAUACUAUACCAUAAAACAAGCUUCAAAAAAUAAUAAAAAAAAAACUAAAUCAUACCAUAUCUUUUCUGAACACAGUGGAAUGAAACUGAAAAUUUGCAACAUAAGAAACUGUAGAAAACCUACAAACAUACAAGACUGAACAACAAGCUCCUUAAUGAACAGUGCAUCACAGGAAAUCAAAACAAAAAUAAAAAAAUUCCUUGAAGUAAAUGAAAAUGACAAUAGAACACAUCAAACUUAUGUGAUGUAGCAAAAGCAAUAUUAAGAAGAAAGUUUAUAGAACUAGUUAUGUACAUCAAAAAAUUUGGGGGCUGGCCCUGUGGCGUAGCAGGUAAAGCCACCACCUGCAGUGCCAGUAUCCCAUAUGGGUGGGUGCAGGUUCAGGUCCUGGCUGCUCUGCUUCCGAUGGCUCUCUCCUAUGGCCUGGGAAAGCAUCAGAAGAUGGCCCAAUUCCUUGGAACUCUGCACUCAUAUGGAAGACCUGGAAGAAUCUCCUGGCUCCUGGCUUCAGAGUGCCAAUUGGAGAGUGUACCAGUGAAUGGAAGAUCUCUCUCUCUCUCUCUCUGUCUCUCUCUCUCUCUCUGCCUCUCCUUCUCUCUCUGUGUAACUCUGACUUUCAAAUAAAUAAAUAAAUCUUUAAAAAAGAGAAAGUGCACAGGUAUUAAAUAAAUGAUCUAAUAAUUCAUUUCAAGAACCUAGAAAAACAAGAACAAACCAAACCCAAACAAGUAGAAGGAAAGAAACAACAAUUAGAAAAGUAAUAAACAAAAUUGAAAUCAAAUUUUAAAAAUACAAAAAAUAGAUGAAAUGAAAAUAAAAAUGGAAAAAUAAAAUUGACAAACCAUUAGCUCAACUAACCCAAAAAGGGAUAAGACUAUGAUUAACAAAAAAGAGAUGAAAUAGGCAAUAUUGAUAGAGAUGAAAUCAAAAUAGAGAUGAAAAAGACAAUAUUGCAACUGAUACCACAGAAAUAACAAGAACAAUCAAGAAUAAUUACAAAUAGCCAUAUGCCUACAAAUUGGAAAAUCUACAAGAAAUAGAUGGAUUUAUGGACACAUACAAUUUCCAAAAUUGAGGCAUAUACACAUAGAAAAUUUGAAUAAACCAGUAACUAAGACAUAGAUUGAAUCUCUAAUAAAGACCCUCACAACAAAGACAAACUCACUAAUGGAUGGCUUUCCUGAUGAAUUCUACUAAACAUUUAAGGAAGAACUAAUCCCAAUUCUUCUUAAACUACUCAAAAUAUUGAAAGGAAGGAAAUCCUUCCUAACUCCUCCUGUGAAGUCAGCAUCACCUCAAUUCCAAAAUCAGAAAUAGAUAAAAAAGAAAGAGAAUAAUAAACCAUUAUUGCGGAUGGCAUAGUUAAAAAAAAAAAAAAAACACAACAAAAUACUUGCUAAUCAAAUCCAAGAAUGUAUCAGA